rnacentral:lncRNA from 1 species
CGGGCGGAUCACGAGGUCAGGAGAUCGAGACCAUCCUGGCUAACAAGUACCACCUUGGAAGUCAUAGCCUUGUCAAAAUAAUCAAACCUGAUGCUAAUCAAGCCUCCAAAUCUAACCACCAACUUACAGAACUGCAAAGAGCAGAGAAACGUAUCAAAUGCCACCAUGGGAAAGCAGCCCACGGGAAUAUGAAAAACUCAAGGUGACAACAACAACAAAAAAAUGAAAGGUGGAGAGGAAUCAACCUACAGGUUAAAGGGAGGUAUUACACAGUAACAAUGUGUGGAACUUAAAAAGGAAAAAUUCAUAGAACUGGAGAAAUGCAAAGUAGACACUUAAUAAUUUUAAGAAAUUAUUGCUGUUUUGUGAGGGGUGAAGGUAAUGAUGGUAUCAUGUUUAUGUUAAAAAGAAAACUCAUCUUUUGAGAUUCAGGCUAAAAUAUUUAUUGAUGAGAUGACUUAAUGGCUGGAAUUUGCUUCAAAUUAAUCAAGGGAAAGAGAGAGUGUGAGAAAUAGAGAACAAUAACACUGACCCAAACUUGAUAGUCGGCGAAGCUAUAUACUGGUCACAGGGGAACUGAUUAUGCUAUUCUUUCUAUUUUUGUAUAUGUUUGAAACUUCCAUUAAAAAAGCUUUAAAAGUAUUUAUUUGUGCCCGGGCACAGUGGCUCACACCUGUAAUCCAGCACUUUGGGAGGCCGAGGCAGGCAGAUCACGAGGUCAGGAGAUCAAGACCAUCCUGGCUAACAUGGUGAAACCCCGUCUCUACUAAAAAUACAAAAAAUUAGCCGGGCGUGGUGGCAGGUGCCUGUAGUCCCAGCUACUCAGGAGGCUGAGGCAGAAGAAUGGCGUGAACCCGGGAGGCAGAGCUUGCAGUGAGCCGAGAUCGCACCACUGCACUCCAGCCUGGGCGACAGAGCAAGACUCUGACUCAAAAAAAAAAAAAAAAGUAUUUGUUAGUACAAGAUUUGAGAAGCAAGAGAAGGAACCUAAAUUGGAGUCCCUGCUUGUGAAAGGUACUUCACACACCCAAUCUCUAAUCCUAACAAUAACAUCCAAUCAGUAUUAAUGUGCCUGUUUCACAGUUGAAAAAAUAAAUAUACUGAAGUAGCUUUCCCAAAGAGCUGAGCUGGCAAAGAACAGAAUCAGAAACGCAAGAAACUAAUUUGGUUUUAAAGCUCAUACAUUUUUCAUGCCAGAACACCACAAAUGCUAAACUCUCUCCUGUAUCUUUAACCUCCAAUUCUAAGUGGACUGUUCUCUCUCUCACCUCUAAACGGGAUCUUUCUCCCAUUCCUGAAAACCAACUUUGGACCUUUUGGCGCCAUCCAGUCCUUGUUUCUUCUUCCCUAUUCAUUCAAAAUUCCAGGAGUGGGUUCCCAUCCUGCUCGGCCUCACCCUUUCCCAUGUGUGCUUCGACACAAUCGAGCAUCCAUUUCCACCCUUCUACCAAGACUGCAAAUGUCAUCAGUGUUCUUGACCUGAAUGCUGGAUGUCCAGCCCUCCUGGAAAUACUCUACCCCUUGGCUUCCGUGACAUUGCACUUGCCUGCCUCUCCUCUCUCCUUUCUGACCUCCCUCUGCUAUCUCCUUCAUGCUUUCUCUUCUUCUGCUUGUCCCUAAAAAAAAAUGUGUGUUGUGCCCCCAGGAGUCCACUGCCCUUCCCUGUCUACUCACCAUCGCUGAGUGAGCCUAUCUACUCUCCUUGUUCAACCAUCUCUUAGGUGCAGAUCAAGUGCAAAUCAAUAGCGCCUGCUCAGUCAGACCUCUCCCCAGGGUUUCUAAAGCACGAGACGAUAACUUGUUCUUACGAUGCUUCAAAUAGACUAAAAAUUAAACAGCCCAGCAUUGCCCUAAGCCAUCUGCAGGAGCACUAUUAUUACACUAGCUAAUUAGAAAUGAUGAUAGUAGUAGCUCCAGUAGCUUCACGUAUUCCCAACUGUGCCUAGACUAUGAAUAUGCUCAAUUAAGAACUUUUCUACAAACUCUUACUAGUCACCCAAAUAAAUGCAAAAUGAAAUGUUGACUGCAUGAUGACUAAGGAGGUCUCCUAAAGUGCCUGAGAUAAAGUUCUCAAAAAUAAGCAAGCAAAAGAAAUAGAAAGGCAAGUUCCCAGUUACAAGCAAGCAACAAAGUCCAGAAAGUGGAAAAAUGGCACUUUUGAAGCUCAUAGGGCAUGCAGUGUGGGAGGACAUACUGAGGACAGAAGGAGAAACACAGACACAAAAGGCAGAAUUUUCCAAGGAUGCCUUUGCCUGCCUCAUAGUUCUGGCUGUGACAGCCAAAAAGUGAAAAAGACAGUCGUGGUGGACACUGAACUGAGCUGUCAGGCAGCUUCAAGCAGAAUAGAAACAGAAGCCUCUUCCCUAGAACGCAUCAGCAUUCCCAGAAAGAGAAUGCAAGCUCCUGCCUACACUGUAGACUCCCUGUGUGCAUUCAUUUCAAACAUAGACAGCAAUGACAGUAUUGGAUGGCAUUUCUCUAAAAAGCUGCAAUGUUCCCAGAUGGCCAAGUUUGGGGAUGUUACAGGUGGAAUUGUGUCCCCCAACAUUCCUAUGGUGAAGUCCUAGCCUCCAGUACUUCACAACCUGAUCUGAUUUGGAAAUAGGGCUGUUGCAGAUACAAUUAGUUAACAUGAAGUCAUCCUGGAAUAGGGUGGCCCCUAAUCCAAUAUGACCGUGUCCUUAUAAAAAGGGGAAAUUCUGACACAGGCAUGAAUACAAGCAGAACGCCAUGUGAAGAUGAAUGCAGAGAUUGGGUUGAUGCUUCCACGAGCCAAGGAAGGCCAAAGAUUGCCAGAAAUUGCCAGAAGCUAGG